UACGGAGGGUGCAAGCGUUAAUCGGAAUUACUGGGCGUAAAGCGCGCGUAGGCGGUUUUUUAAGUCGGAUGUGAAAGCCCCGGGCUCAACCUGGGAACUGCAUCCGAUACUGGCAAACUAGAAUGUGGUAGAGGGAAGUGGAAUUCCUCAUGUAGCGGUGAAAUGCGUAGAUAUGAGGAGGAACACCAGUGGCGAAGGCGGCUUCCUGGACCAACAUUGACGCUGAGGUACGAAAGCGUGGGUAGCAAACAGG
rnacentral:rRNA from 1 species